ACUCUGUGGUAAAAUUGUUUCUAUGGCAAAGCAGCCGAUAAAGUGUAUUGAUUAGCAACAAUAAAGCGUAAUUACUUGUAAACCACAAGUAAUGGCAGUAUGUUUCAAUGAUCAAGAAUCAAGUUUUAAAAUGUUGCUUACAUGUAAAAUUAUAGAAGUAUGGAACACCAUAAAGGAAGUUGAUAGCAAUCUACAUUCAUGUGGUGAGCUGAUGGAAAGUUUGACUAAGAGAAUGAACAGGACGGUGCAGGAUUGUGGAACGCAGACGUGUUUCGACGAUGCUAAGUGGUCCUUGCGAUCUCGCACAGAGCCAGAGUGCUGUGAGGAUGGUUGUGGGGCCAAUGCGAAGCAGGAAGUGUCCAGUGGAGCCAGUGUUGGCUCGGCCGCAGUCGCCAGAGAUGACGCCGUACCAGCCGUAAUAGCCGGGCCCGACGCCGGUGUGCUAGUCACAGACGAGGCUCUGGGAGACGUGCAGGUAUUUGCAAGUAGCUAGCACGAGAAUGCUCCGUCAUGACUACACGUAAACUGCACUGCCGCUCGUCACAACUGCACUUCGUGUGUGUCUUUGAGUAGCAUUGAAGCACCACUGCCCGCUGGUUCAGUUCAUUCCUGGGAAGAAUUAGUGCUCUGUACAUUGAACACAACUGUGCUAACAUUGUGCCACACACGAACACAAUGUGACUAUGAAGUGAGAAACAUAUUAUUUGGAAAAAGAAAUGUAAGGUAUUAAACCAACAUAUGUCCUGUAUUCGGAAAUGUUCAUUACGAUGAUGUAUUCAAUUUUUCAGAGAGAAAAAAGAAGCUUUGGGUAAGGAAUGGAUUAUUACCAAUUGAAAUUUACCAUCCCAGCAUUGGUUUGGAACUAUUUCGGAAAAAUUACGAAGAACCGAAAUCAGUAUGUAUUGAUUGGGACUCGAAUGUCAUCGUUGUGUCACUUCGCGAGACACUAUCUAGGGUAUCAAAAAAAAAAUUUGUAAUAAAAAUGGCAAUCAACCAUGUA